UAUUGUUGCUGGGGGCGCUGUAUGCUGAGAGGAUUCGAGCUUCGAAUCGACCCUUAUACCUGAUCCGGGUAAUGCCGGCGUAGGGAAGCAGUUUUUUUCGUGC
rnacentral:ncRNA from 2 species